rnacentral:rRNA from 1 species
GUCUACCGCCAUGCUACCCUGAGCAAGCCCCAUCCUGUCUGAUCUCAGAAGCUAAGCAGGGUUGGACUUAGUUAAUACUUAGAUGGGAGACCACCUAGGAAGACCAGGUGCUGUA